UUAGAAGGGAAAGUAAAGUGGUCUUUCGGAGACACUUGAAUACCGGAUAGCCACGUGAGAAUUGGAGCUUGAGGAUAAUGCUCUUUUAUGGAUUGAGAUUGGAGAUGUGCCGGAGUGUGCCAUCCCGUGAUAGAGCAAGGAUCAGGUUGAGGAUAGUAGCACUCGCAAUUGGUCGAUGCACCUAUGAAUUGCUUCUAAGCAAUGCGGUGAUCGAAUCAGAGUGAAUUUCCCGAUUGGGUGUGUAAUGCAAAGAGUGGUUCUUUGCAUGGUGGUAAUGCACUUUCGGAGUUACACUUAGCAAAUGUGAGUGAAUUUGGUCUCACAUCCUCCGUAGUGGGCUUUUGGAUAGUUCCAAUGAGAGAAAUGCCACCCCGGAGUGCAAAAGUGCAUUGUUACCCUCAGAUGCUCGAUAACUCAAAUUGAGAUGAGAUUUGAGUUUCGAGGACGAAGCUCUUAUUAAGGAGGGGAGGAUGUAAGGUACCGGACUUCUAAAAUUAUAAAGUUACGGUGUGCAUUUGGUUUGGAAAGCCAUUAAAAUGAUUCCGGUGAAGUUCGGAAGCAUUUGGGCAUUUUCGGAGCGCGUAGGCGCAAAAACGGGACCCGAAAGGCUAUGUUGGACCAUGGACUAAAUCCAGCAUUAGCGCGGAUGAAAAGAUGAUGAAAAUACGCUCAAAAACAUGUUUAGAGAGUCUCGGUUCGAUUUGAAAAGAAUCGGAGGUUAAACGAGCGAAAACGGAGAAGAAACGGUGAAAAAGCUGAAAAUUUGGCUAUGUCCU
rnacentral:lncRNA from 1 species